GGAGCUCAGUCAACUUCCUCUUGUGUUCUUGCUGAUUUCAAUCAUUCACUCUGAAACUGAAGAAAUACCAAAAGCCAAAGUGACCAUUAAACCUGCUCAACAUGUAUUCAGAGGAGACACAGUCACUCUCAGAUGUGACAUAUUUGGUGAAGGAGUCACUAGCUGGAGCUACAACUGGUAUAAAAACGG